rnacentral:lncRNA from 14 species
GUUAUUCAGCAGUGUGAGGUACUGCUUUAUCAUCCCUGAUGUGUCAAGUCACCAGCCCGUGGGUCCUCUUGUCCUCAGUGGAAUAUGCCAAGUGGCUAGCUAAACCCAGCAAACGUGGAAUCAAGACUGAUGUUGUUUUCUUUCUUUUUUGGAUUUCUGAUCAAGUUGGUUGCUACAAGAAAGCAUUCCCAGAAAUAUGCAUGUCUUACUUUGUGUAUUAAUAAAACCAGCUGUAAUUUUAUAGAAUUGGAAUCAACCUCUCGCACUCAGAUUGCCUGAGAGUAUCCAGUAGAAAAAGACUGAAUGCUUCUUUGAGAAUCAUCAUCAUCCCUACAGCUUCCAGCAAUCUUUAUCUGCUUAGUAGUGAAAACCAACCCAGGAACAAACCAGAAAACCAAGCCUUCAAGGUCACAAACUGGCUCUGUGCCAUUCCGUUCAGAUUUAAGUUAAGCUGUGAGAUACUAAAAAACCAUCAUUUCCCUUCUCUCACAUGAGAUCCUCAGGGAAACCCAGUCAGUCUGCUAAAAAUCACUGAGCUCUGCAGAGCUCAACACAUGGUGCCAGACGUGCCAGAGCAGUCUCAGAGCAGUGUCCUGAGACCUGGAAGAUUUGGGCUGGGCAAGGUGUCAGCAUUCUCCCCUUUGAGCAUUCCACCUUCACUUUUGGAGCACUGUAUGAACACAGCACAUGAUGCUAUAAGUGCAGUAGUCUUUCAAAGAUCAUAGCCUUCUCUGUUGGGAGCUGAUGUAUAUUUUGUCCCAUUCCACAGUGAUGGGAACAUGUUUUCUGUAGCAAGGAAUCCAUCCUCCUCCUGAUAUUCAUUCACAAUAGAAGCUGUACAUGCUACAACUGUUUUCCUUAAUCUGAAUGUUCAAAAAUUCAGUCUAGCAAUUAAUAUAGAAUUAUAGAAUAGUUAGGGUUGGAAAGGACCUUAAGAUCAUCCAGUUCCAACCCCCCUGCCAUGGGCAGGGAUACCUCACACUAAACCAUAUCACCCAAGGCUCUAUCCAACCUGGCCGUGAACACUGCCCGGGAUGGAGCAUUCACAACCUCCCUGGGCAACCCAUUCCAGUGCCUCACCACCCUCACAGUAAAGAAUUUCUUCCUUAUAUCCAAUCUAAACCUCUGCUGUUUAAGUUUAAAACCAUUACCCCUUGUCCUGUCACUACAGUCCCUAAUGAAUAGUCCCUCCCCAGCAUCCCUGUAGGCCCCCUUCAAAUA